CUCAAAUUUGAAAUCUGGCUUCGGCCCGAGUUGUAAUUUGCAGAGGAUGCUUUUGGUGCGGUGCCUUCCGAGUUCCCUGGAACGGGACGCCACAGAGGGUGAGAGCCCCGUAUGGUCGGACACCAAUCCUGUGUAAAGCUCCUUCGACGAGUCGAGUAGUUUGGGAAUGCUGCUCUAAAUGGGAGGUAAAUCUCUUCUAAAGCUAAAUACCGGCCAGAGACCGAUAGCGCACAAGUAGAGUGAUCGAAAGAUGAAAAGCACCUUGAAAAGGGGGUUAAACAGUACGUGAAAUUGUUGAAAGGGAAGCACUUGUGACCAGACUUGGGCCGGGCGGCUCAUCAGGGGUUCUCCCCUGUGCAUUCCGCCCGGUACAGGCCAGCAUCGGUUCUUACCGGGGGAUAAGAACGGCAGGAACGUGGCUCCCUCUCGGGGGAGUGUUAUAGCCUGCCGUACGAUACCCUGGCGGGGACCGAGGUUCGCGCUUCCGCAAGGAUGCUGGCGUAAUGGUUACUAGUGACCCGUCUUGAAACACGGACCAAGGAGUCGUCCAUUAGAGCGAGCGUUUGGGUGUAAAACCCGCACGCGUAAUGAAAGUGAAAUUAGGUGAGAGCUUCGGCGCAUCAUCGACCGAUCCUGAUGUUCUCGGAUGGAUUUGAGUAAGAGUUUUAACGGACGGACCCGAAAGACAGUGAACUAUGCUUGUAUAGGGUGAAGCCAGAGGAAACU
rnacentral:rRNA from 1 species